rnacentral:rRNA from 1 species
GACAGAGGGUGCAAACGUUGUUCGGAUUUACUGGGCGUAAAGCGCGUGUAGGCGGCUUCGUAAGUUGGAUGUGAAAUCCCACGGCUCAACCGUGGACGUGCAUCCAAAACUGCGUCGCUGGAGUCUCGGAGAGGAAGGUGGAAUGCUUGGUGUAGAGGUGAAAUUCGUAGAUAUCAAGCAGAACACCUGCGGCGAAGGCGGCCUUCUGGACGAUGACUGACGCUGAGACGCGAAAGCGUGGGGAGCAAACAGG